AAAAACAAGUUGUUCCGAGUGCCCAUGUGUGGUUGUAGUGUCUCUCUUUGAUUAGCUUUUGUCUGUAGAUGUACUGUCAUAUCAGGUCUUUGAGUCAAA